rnacentral:misc_RNA from 1 species
AUGAGCAACAUCUACUGAGUGCACCUCUUCCUCCCCACCAUGUCCGCAUUCAUGGAGAAGUACCACAUCAACAAGGCUCUCGGCACCACGUUGAGAGCCGUGCAGUCCGUGUGGGACUGGACGCGUGAGCGGCUGUGGCCCAUCUACUCCGCCGCCGUCGUCAUCUCCCUCUUCCAGAUGAUCGCUGUCGCCUCAGAGAAGCAGAUUCUCGCCGACCACUACUACGGCGACGUCGAUGGGAAGUUCGAGGAGCACAAGGAUGAGCUCGUGCGCGACGCCAAGAAGCUCUUCAACGAAGAGGUAGCGGUGGCGGUGAAAGAGCAUGUGUGGCAGCUGUCCCCUGCGGCGUUCCGUCGCGAGUACAGCAGCCGCCUUGGCAACGCUUAAUAUCGUGAAGAAGGGGGGGAGGCUGGGGAAGGUGUUCUGACGUGCUGGCAAGCCCCAAGCGCAGAUGCGGAGUGUUCAGGACUGUCUACCUAUGCCUGUGGCGACGCAGAAAGUCAUGGUGACAGAAAAGGCCACAUUUAACCAUGCCGCCUCGCACGCAUGCACGCGCGCAAGUAGUGGGAGGUGGGGGAGGUGUAUCAUCUGACUCCUCCGGCAGCUCUCUAGCCCUCCCCUGCAGCCAAGCUCCCCACUCCCCCCCCCCGACCCCCUCCCGAUCCUUUGCGUGCCGUGUGCGUAUGCGGGUUUUUUGCGUGAUGGACGGGAUCUCAUGGUGUUUUGCUCUGAUUUGUCUGUGUGUCUAUAUGCGUGUGUAACGGUGUGUGCAUGUGUGUUUGUGUGUCAUCAUCCAUGUUGCUUCGCACGAAGAGGACGGAGGGUCGAUGGGCCUCCCUCGCCCCCUCUCGCAGCCACACCCAAAUACGCCGCCCUCCACCCUCCGUCUCUUCCUCUUGGUGGAGUUGAUGUUUCCUGCCUCGUGAGGCACCUAACU